rnacentral:lncRNA from 1 species
AUUGCUUCCUCUUAUUUACCCACUGCACUAACUGAGAACACGUGACCAGGUAUUCCUUGCCCAAAUUCUUUAUAAACCACCAACCAAACUUAGUGUCUGGUGGUUUACGGCAAGCUGUGGAAAACGCCUCGGAAAACUUUAAUUAAUGCACUGCAUGACAGCCUGAAGACUAAUUACAGGUACCACCUUCUAUAGAAAGGAGGAAGAAAACAGGACUUUUCAUCACUCCAGGACUCAGACCUUCUCUCUACAGCAGUAUAAUUCAUAGGUGGGCAAACCAGAUUUGGUUCACUUCACAAGGUGGGGUUGAAUAUUUAAAGAGCUCCUGGUACUUCACUCACCUCAGCAGAUGGACAGCCAAGGAGCCUGAAGGAGGAAAAAGCUGAAGGUUCAUGGGACUAUUAUAGACUGCUACUAAGGUCGCAACUUAGUUUUGAAGAAUGCUAAUAUUUAUAAUCAUGGAAAAAAUUAUCACACAUC